GAUUCGCGUUGGGCAGUUACUCUCCCGAUUUAAUCGGGAGGGAGGAAAGUCCGAACUCCGCAGAACGAGGUGCCGGGUAACUCCCGGGGGCUCAAGUACGCAAGUCUUGAGUCACGGAAAGUGCCACAGAGAACAAACCGCCCCGGGUUAAUCUUGGGGUAAGGGUGAAAAGGCGAGGUAAGAGCUCACCGCUCCGGUGGUAACAUCGGGGGUUCCGAAAGGGAUCCUGCAAAGCGGGACAGGGCAAACCCCACCUGGUGCAAGGUCAAGCAGAAGGGAUCCCGAUCAGACCGAUCGUAUGAUUGGUUUAUCGGGUCGAAGUUGUUCGCUUCGAUUUCUUCCGAAAGGGAGAUUAACUUUCGGGUAGACCGCUUGAUCACGGCAGUAAUGUCGUGGCUAGAUAAAUGACUGCCGCCCCGAUUUAUCGGGGAACAGAAUUCGGCUUACAGACUCGAAAUCAUC
rnacentral:RNase_P_RNA from 1 species